rnacentral:rRNA from 1 species
GGAGGAUCCAAGCGUUAUCCGGAAUCAUUGGGUUUAAAGGGUCCGUAGGCGGUUUAGUAAGUCAGUGGUGAAAGCCCAUCGCUCAACGGUGGAACGGCCAUUGAUACUGCUAGACUUGAAUUAUUAGGAAGUAACUAGAAUAUGUAGUGUAGCGGUGAAAUGCUUAGAGAUUACAUGGAAUACCAAUUGCGAAGGCAGGUUACUACUAAUGGAUUGACGCUGAUGGACGAAAGCGUGGGUAGCGAACAGGAUUAGAUACCCUGGUAGUCCACGCCGUAAACGAUGGAUACUAGCUGUUCGGAGCAAUCUGAGUGGCUAAGCGAAAGUGAUAAGUAUCCCACCUGGGGAGUACGUUCGCAAGAAUG